rnacentral:rRNA from 1 species
GGAUUAGAUACCCUGGUAGUCCACGCCGUAAACGAUGGAUACUCGGUGUCAGGUUACACAAUCGACCUGGUGCCUAAGCUAACGCGUUAAGUAUCCCGCCUGGGGAGUACGGUCGCAAGAUUAAAACUCAAAGGAAUAGACGGGGACCCACACAAGCGGUGGAGCAUCUUGUUUAAUUCGAUAAUAAGCGGGGAACCUUACCUAGGCUUGACAUCCCACAGAAUUUUCUAGAAAUAGAAAAGUGCCUUUUGGAACUGUGGUGACAGGCGCUGCAUGGUCGUCGUCAGCUCGUGCCG